AAAAAUCGGGCGCAAAGCGCCCUCUUUCAUUUAUGAUGGCACCCCUUUCUCCAAAAUCCUGGCUACGCCCCUGAGGCACAUGGGCAGUCAGGGGUAUAAUAGUCUGUUGGUUACCCGAGGAGUGCAUGGACAGUCACGGGUAUAUAUUGUAUAGUCGUUGGUUUAUUCAGGGCACUGUUACAGCCACGUGGAUACGUAAUUAUUUAUUUUCAUGGGAAAGGACUCCAGGUUUCUUUGCUGAUCCCCACUAGCUGCAUGUCAGCUUGCAUGGUGUCCUACUUUUUAACACUUCAGGCCUGCUCUAGCUGCUGUGAUCCAAAUAACGGUCUAGGACUCUCAGAGUGCAUUUCAGGUGCAUGGUACCCCAAUGUUGGCAAGAGCUCCACCAUCAAUGCCCUCAUUCAGUGCAAGAAGGUCGCCACUCCAUGGAGACUAAACACUUUCAGUUUUCACUUUCUACUAUUGGUAUACCUCUUUGCUGCUACUAUGAACACCACAACACCUGCGACUGAGAUCACAAUGUUCACCAGGAAAUAAACCGGAGAAGCUGUGUGUAGCUUAUGGCUGUAGGACUAAUAGUGAGCUCACUAAAACACCUAACCUAGGAGUAUGUCAUAAUCGUUACGUA